GGUUAAGCGACUAAGCGUACACGGUGGAUGCCCUGGCAGUCAGAGGCGAUGAAGGACGUGCUAAUCUGCGAUAAGCGUCGGUAAGGUGAUAUGAACCGUUAUAACCGGCGAUUUCCGAAUGGGGAAACCCAGUGUGUUUCGACACACUAUCAUUAACUGAAUCCAUAGGUUAAUGAGGCGAACCGGGGGAACUGAAACAUCUAAGUACCCCGAGGAAAAGAAAUCAACCGAGAUUCCCCCAGUAGCGGCGAGCGAACGGGGAGCAGCCCAGAGCCUGAAUCAGUGUGUGUGUUAGUGGAAGCGUCUGGAAAGGCGCGCGAUACAGGGUGACAGCCCCGUACACAAAAAUGCACAUGCUGUGAGCUCGAUGAGUAGGGCGGGACACGUGGUAUCCUGUCUGAAUAUGGGGGGACCAUCCUCCAAGGCUAAAUACUCCUGACUGACCGAUAGUGAACCAGUACCGUGAGGGAAAGGCGAAAAGAACCCCGGCGAGGGGAGUGAAAAAGAACCUGAAACCGUGUACGUACAAGCAGUGGGAGCACGCUUAGGCGUGUGACUGCGUACCUUUUGUAUAAUGGGUCAGCGACUUAUAUUCUGUAGCAAGGUUAACCGAAUAGGGGAGCCGAAGGGAAACCGAGUCUUAACUGGGCGUUAAGUUGCAGGGUAUAGACCCGAAACCCGGUGAUCUAGCCAUGGGCAGGUUGAAGGUUGGGUAACACUAACUGGAGGACCGAACCGACUAAUGUUGAAAAAUUAGCGGAUGACUUGUGGCUGGGGGUGAAAGGCCAAUCAAACCGGGAGAUAGCUGGUUCUCCCCGAAAGCUAUUUAGGUAGCGCCUCGUGAAUUCAUCUCCGGGGGUAGAGCACUGUUUCGGCAAGGGGGUCAUCCCGACUUACCAACCCGAUGCAAACUGCGAAUACCGGAGAAUGUUAUCACGGGAGACACACGGCGGGUGCUAACGUCCGUCGUGAAGAGGGAAACAACCCAGACCGCCAGCUAAGGUCCCAAAGUCAUGGUUAAGUGGGAAACGAUGUGGGAAGGCCCAGACAGCCAGGAUGUUGGCUUAGAAGCAGCCAUCAUUUAAAGAAAGCGUAAUAGCUCACUGGUCGAGUCGGCCUGCGCGGAAGAUGUAACGGGGCUAAACCAUGCACCGAAGCUGCGGCAGCGACACUAUGUGUUGUUGGGUAGGGGAGCGUUCUGUAAGCCUGUGAAGGUGUACUGUGAGGUAUGCUGGAGGUAUCAGAAGUGCGAAUGCUGACAUAAGUAACGAUAAAGCGGGUGAAAAGCCCGCUCGCCGGAAGACCAAGGGUUCCUGUCCAACGUUAAUCGGGGCAGGGUGAGUCGACCCCUAAGGCGAGGCCGAAAGGCGUAGUCGAUGGGAAACAGGUUAAUAUUCCUGUACUUGGUGUUACUGCGAAGGGGGGACGGAGAAGGCUAUGUUGGCCGGGCGACGGUUGUCCCGGUUUAAGCGUGUAGGCUGGUUUUCCAGGCAAAUCCGGAAAAUCAAGGCUGAGGCGUGAUGACGAGGCACUACGGUGCUGAAGCAACAAAUGCCCUGCUUCCAGGAAAAGCCUCUAAGCAUCAGGUAACAUCAAAUCGUACCCCAAACCGACACAGGUGGUCAGGUAGAGAAUACCAAGGCGCUUGAGAGAACUCGGGUGAAGGAACUAGGCAAAAUGGUGCCGUAACUUCGGGAGAAGGCACGCUGAUAUGUAGGUGAAGUCCCUCGCGGAUGGAGCUGAAAUCAGUCGAAGAUACCAGCUGGCUGCAACUGUUUAUUAAAAACACAGCACUGUGCAAACACGAAAGUGGACGUAUACGGUGUGACGCCUGCCCGGUGCCGGAAGGUUAAUUGAUGGGGUCAGCGCAAGCGAAGCUCUUGAUCGAAGCCCCGGUAAACGGCGGCCGUAACUAUAACGGUCCUAAGGUAGCGAAAUUCCUUGUCGGGUAAGUUCCGACCUGCACGAAUGGCGUAAUGAUGGCCAGGCUGUCUCCACCCGAGACUCAGUGAAAUUGAACUCGCUGUGAAGAUGCAGUGUACCCGCGGCAAGACGGAAAGACCCCGUGAACCUUUACUAUAGCUUGACACUGAACAUUGAGCCUUGAUGUGUAGGAUAGGUGGGAGGCUUUGAAGUGUGGACGCCAGUCUGCAUGGAGCCGACCUUGAAAUACCACCCUUUAAUGUUUGAUGUUCUAACGUUGACCCGUAAUCCGGGUUGCGGACAGUGUCUGGUGGGUAGUUUGACUGGGGCGGUCUCCUCCUAAAGAGUAACGGAGGAGCACGAAGGUUGGCUAAUCCUGGUCGGACAUCAGGAGGUUAGUGCAAUGGCAUAAGCCAGCUUGACUGCGAGCGUGACGGCGCGAGCAGGUGCGAAAGCAGGUCAUAGUGAUCCGGUGGUUCUGAAUGGAAGGGCCAUCGCUCAACGGAUAAAAGGUACUCCGGGGAUAACAGGCUGAUACCGCCCAAGAGUUCAUAUCGACGGCGGUGUUUGGCACCUCGAUGUCGGCUCAUCACAUCCUGGGGCUGAAGUAGGUCCCAAGGGUAUGGCUGUUCGCCAUUUAAAGUGGUACGCGAGCUGGGUUUAGAACGUCGUGAGACAGUUCGGUCCCUAUCUGCCGUGGGCGCUGGAGAACUGAGGGGGGCUGCUCCUAGUACGAGAGGACCGGAGUGGACGCAUCACUGGUGUUCGGGUUGUCAUGCCAAUGGCACUGCCCGGUAGCUAAAUGCGGAAGAGAUAAGUGCUGAAAGCAUCUAAGCACGAAACUUGCCCCGAGAUGAGUUCUCCCUGACCCUUUAAGGGUCCUGAAGGAACGUUGAAGACGACGACGUUGAUAGGCCGGGUGUGUAAGCGCAGCGAUGCGUUGAGCUAACCGGUACUAAUGAACCGUGAGGCUUAACCUU
rnacentral:rRNA from 1 species